rnacentral:rRNA from 1 species
CACGAACGCUGGCGGCAGGCUUAACACAUGCAAGUCGAGCGCCCCGCAAGGGGAGCGGCAGACGGGUGAGUAACGCGUGGGAAUCUACCCAUCUCUACGGAAUAACGCAUGGAAACGUGUGCUAAUACCGUAUACGUCCUUCGGGAGAAAGAUUUAUCGGAGAUGGAUGAGCCCGCGUUGGAUUAGCUGGUUGGUGGGGUAAAGGCCUACCAAGGCGACGAUCCAUAGCUGGUCUGAGAGGAUGAUCAGCCACACUGGGACUGAGACACGGCCCAGACUCCUACGGGAGGCAGCAGUGGGGAAUAUUGGAAAAUGGGCGCAAGCCUGAUCCAGCCAUGCCGCGUGAGUGAUGAAGGCCCUAGGGUUGUAAAGCUCUUUCACCAGUGAAGAUAAUGACGGUAACCGGAGAAGAAGCCCCGGCUAACUUCGUGCCAGCCGCCGCGGUAAAAC